rnacentral:rRNA from 1 species
AAUGGUGUAGGAAAACGUCGUAAAGACAAUUCCAAU